rnacentral:rRNA from 1 species
CCUACGGGUGGCAGCAGUAGGGAAUCUUCCGCAAUGGACGAAAGUCUGACGGAGCAACGCCGCGUGAGUGAUGAAGGCUUUCGGGUCGUAAAACUCUGUUGUUAGGGAAGAACAAGUGCUAGUUGAAUAAGCUGGCACCUUGACGGUACCUAACCAGAAAGCCACGGCUAACUACGUGCCAGCAGCCGCGGUAAUACGUAGGUGGCAAGCGUUAUCCGGAAUUAUUGGGCGUAAAGCGCGCGCAGGUGGUUUCUUAAGUCUGAUGUGAAAGCCCACGGCUCAACCGUGGAGGGUCAUUGGAAACUGGGAGACUUGAGUGCAGAAGAGGAAAGUGGAAUUCCAUGUGUAGCGGUGAAAUGCGUAGAGAUAUGGAGGAACACCAGUGGCGAAGGCGACUUUCUGGUCUGUAACUGACACUGAGGCGCGAAAGCG